rnacentral:rRNA from 1 species
AGAAUCAACGCUGGCGGCGUGCCUAACACAUGCAAGUCGAACGAGAAAGGGGAGCAAUCCCUGAGUACAGUGGCGACCGGGUGAGUAACACGUGACUACCUACCCUUGAGUGGGGGAUAACCUCGGGAAACCGAGGCUAAUACCGCAUAAUAUCGCAAGAUCAAAGGAGUAAUCCGCUUUUGGAGGGGGUCGCGGCUGAUUAGCUAGUUGGUGAGGUAAUGGCUCACCAAGGCGAAGAUCGGUAUCCGGCCUGAGAGGGCGCACGGACACACUGGAACUGAAACACGGUCCAGACUCCUACGGGAGGCAGCAGUGGGAAUUUUGCGCAAUGGGGGAAACCCUGACGCAGCAACGCCGCGUGGAGGAUGAAGCUCCUUGGAGUGUAAACUCCUUUCGACCGGAAAAUGAUGAUGGUACCGGUGGAAGAGCACCGGCUAACUCUGCGCCAGCAGCCGC